ensembl:lncRNA
CCUCACUUCAUCUCAUCACAUAGGCCUUGUAUCAUCUCACGCCAUCACAAGAAGAAGGGAAACUAUCCCAGUGGAAAAUGUGUUGUCUGUGAACUCCUGCAGGCUCCUGGUGAUCACGGCUGUUUCGCCUACAUAUUAAUGACCAACAUGGGACCAUCACUGAGGAACAGAACUUCUUUCUAUUCUGAAAGAAUUUUACUCAAUUAAUUAGGGUAAUCCUAGUAGUUGAAGUAGAUAAAUCCCCGCAUCGCAGGGGCUCAACUCAGUAGCAGGUAUUCCUCACUCGUGUGAAGUCUGAAAGGGGGGUUCCUGAGGAGCCAGGGCUCCCAUCUCCAAGCAAUAAUUCAAGGCUCUUGGCUCCUUCCGACUUGUAGUUCUGAGAUCUUCUGACUAAUACAGCUGAUAGAAAAGAUGAUGCAGGAAUAAAUGAAAAAGAUUUCAGGAGAGAUAAUGAAAACAAUUUUGACUGAUGGGAAUAAAGGAAAAAACAAAAGCAGAGGCGGAAAAAAGCAUAGAAUCCAUGGCACACUCAAACUAGGGUGUAUGGGAAGGUCCUAGACAGGAGCUAUGCCUUCAGCUGAGGGAUGUGGCCAAGGGACUUACGUCAAUGACACAAGGAGGGAGCCGGGAAAUAAAUACCCCGGCCUCACUCGCCUCCUCCAGGGCUCCACAUUAUCAGAAAUGAACCAGCAGCCAAAGGGUAAAGGAGUUCACUGAAGCUGUUCGUUCAAGUUGGGCUUCCGUAUACGAAACAGGGAGAGAAGGUAGAGAGUGGGUCUGCAGAGGCAAACAAAAGAUAGCAACACAAGAGAGACUGAACAUUUCUGAGUGAGAGUAGCAUUGUCCAGCUAACACUUUACAGAGAUUGAUUUGGUGGCCAUGAAAACAGGGAUUGCAAAGGGGAGAUAUUGGAGGCAAGAAGACCUUUAGGGAACUGAGGCCCAGGACAGGGCCAUGGUAGGACCAGAGGCAAGGGCUGAAUACUGGAAUCAUUGCAUGGUUUGAUGUGAGAGGCAAGAAGAGAGUUGAAGCGCCUUCUAAGACCGCGGUUUUAAAAGGAAGAUGAUGAGUUCAUGUGGGGACAUGUUGAGUAUAAAUUUCCUCAAGACAUCCAUACGGAGAUGUCCUGAGUCAGCCCAACCCCAGGGGAACUGAUUUUGUCAUCUGGCUCUGCUGCUUUGUGAAGGAGUUCAGAAACGCACAGAUAGGCCUAGCCCAAAGAAAAAUCAUAGAUGCCUAUCUAAAUCAUCUCGCUCUUAACAAAAAAUCUCUGAGAAGCAAAAGACAUUUUAUCUGAAUUCCAUAUCUUUAAGAAUUAUUCAUUUCAUGUUAUACUGCAUUGGUUUCCAGAUGAUGAGUGCUAUACGUGAGCAGAAGGCAACAUUUGCUACCUGAAAUUUAAAUUGAACUUAAAAGUGUCUGUUGGAUUAUCUUCCAGAAGGAGAGAACUGAAUCAGAGUUUGUAAACAUUAGCACUAGUCUCAAAUGCAUGUUUUAAAACACAAAUCGUCGCUCUGAAUUUGUUGCUUAAAAACAAAAAUCAAUACAACAGCUCACCAAGCUCAGACUCUUGCUUGCCAAAUAUUUGUCUAAAAUUAAGGUCACUUUGGUAUCAUAACAAAUCCAAUCUUCAAACUAAUUCCUGAGUGAAUGUUGAGAACAACUUUGAAGGAACGUGAAAUAUAAUUUUAAGUUGAACCUAAGUAAACAGACCUAGCUAGUAGUAUGAAUGGCAUUAAUCUAUGCGUAGUCCCACAACUCCUUUUAUCUUUUUAAUAUCUUUACAUUCAACCAUCUAUAAUAAUUAUCUUUCUGAAGGGACUUGGUUAAUUUUAGGUUAAACUAUUUUAGAUAAAAAUAUAGAGCCAAUUUUUAUAUUUCCAUAUUUCCACAUUGAAGUACAAUUAGUUACUCUUAUAUUGAGGAAGCUAUAAACGUCAGUGACAAAAGAUCAGAAAAGCACUUCAAAAAUAAAACAACUUAAAAUUGCAGAUGAGAUUUAGGAUAGAUUAGGUAUGCGAUAUUCAGCCAUGCAUAUGAUAUCUCACAUCUAGCUGGUGUCAUAAACAUUUCCUCUCACAACAUUUGCAAUAAGUAAGUCACAUUUCAAGGAUGGUUGCUUUUUCAGGGUCCUCAGUCAACUGGAAAAUGUCCAUUUCUUCUAAUAAGAAGUUUCUCUGAAAAUAAAGAUGUAUCAAAU